AAUCUCAGUUCCACCUAAAGUAAUUUAAAUCCUCACAAAUAUUCUCAGACCUUUAGAGUAAAUCAAAUAAGGUACAGCCUAUUUGAUACAGAACACAACCUUCAACAACGGGUAAUACAAAUUAAAACUUAAGUGGGCCUAAGAGCAGCCACCUUUUAAAAAGCGUCAAAGCUUACACUAUACUUCAAUUCGUAAACCACUAUUGACCCCUUCAACCCUAUUGAGAAUUCCUAUAACCCUUAUAGGACAUUUUAUGCUAAAACUAGUAACAAGAGGUUACCCCUCUCUACAAUGUAAACUCAAACCAGCUUGAACCCCUCACUGGUAUUCAACAGACUUUGACUAAAGUAAUAACUCUUCUAGAAAAUAUUACUUCCACCACUGUUAACCUAACACAAGAACAUUUUAAGAAAGAUUAAAAGAAAAAGAAGGAACUCGGCAAAUAUUAAGUCCGCCUGUUUACCAAAAACAUCACCUCUUGCCCUCACUAUAAGAGGCCCAGCCUGCCCAGUGAUUUUAUUCAACGGCCGCGGUAUCCUAACCGUGCAAAGGUAGCGUAAUCACUUGUCUCCUAAAUAGAGACUAGUAUGAAAGGCAUCACGAGACUUAUACUGUCUCCUCUCUCCAAUCAGUGAACCUAAUCUCCCCGUGAAGAAGCGGGGAUAAUUUUAUAAGACGAGAAGACCCUAUGGAGCUUAAAACAGUACUACACGUGCCACACAUAUCCCUUUACCAAGGUCCUAACUCCAUAAGCACGCUGAUUACAUGUUUUUGGUUGGGGUGACCGCGGAGAACAAACUACCCUCCACGAUGAAAGUGGUACUACCACUAAACAAUAAGCCACAACUUUAUCCAUCAAUAAACUGACAUUAAUUGACCCAAUAAUUUGAUCAACGAACCAAGUUACCCUAGGGAUAACAGCGCAAUCCACUUUAAGAGCUCCUAUCGACAAGUGGGCUUACGACCUCGAUGUUGGAUCAGGGUAUCCCAGUGGUGCAGCCGCUACUAAAGGUUCGUUUGUUCAACGAUUAAAACCCUACGUGAUCUGAGUUCAGACCGGAGUAAUCCAGGUCAGUUUCUAUCUAUAACAGAGUUAUUUUUAGUACGAAAGGACCAAAAUAACAUAGCCAAUGUAUAUUACAAGCUAUAACUGGUUAUUUUAGACCACCACUCAAAAAAUAACUGACCUAUUUCCCUUUUCAAGAAAAGAACAGUUAAUGUAGCAAACCCAGGCUUUGCAAGAGACCUAAGCCCUUUUUACAGAGGUUCAAAUCCUCUCUUUA
rnacentral:rRNA from 1 species